rnacentral:misc_RNA from 1 species
UUGGUAUUUAAUUUUAUUGCAAGGAAAAGUAAGGCUAUGUUCUGACAAAGUGUGAAAGAACUGAGAAAUAAACAAAUAAAACUGUAUAAGAUCAUCAUAUCUGAUUAAAAACGGCGGCAGAAUGGCGGUGUUAAGUAGCUUGUUGGGUAAUCGUCAGGCUGGGUAAUUUGAGCAUGUAUAUACUUACAGCAUUAAAUUGGGCUUCUACUCCGCUCAACCCAACUGCGCAUAACGCAUGAACGGAGGUUAUUUCUCAUUUCACAUGAUUUACAAGAUGAAUCGAAAACAGUGGCACGUAUUACUCCAUCACUACCGUAAGAGCUCCGUCUAUAAUUGAAAAUGUAAAGUUGAUAACUCAGUGCUGUUGCGGUAUUAGGGCGAUAGGCUAUUCUUUGUAAGAACUUUGACAUUA